CAACAAGGACCUACUGUACAGCACAGGGAAAUAUAUUCAGUGUCUUAUAAUGACCUAUAAUGGAAAAGAAUCUGAAAAAGAACACACACAUAUAUAACUGAAUCGCUUUGCUGUGCACCGGAAACGAACACAACCUUGUAGUUUAACUAUACUUCAAUUUUUAAAAAUAGUUAAUAAAAUAAGAAAUAAAGAUACAUUAUUUUUCCUUCCACAGAAGACUCUCUAGGAAAUUCCCGGUACAGAGGAACAACCCCGCUUCGAAGUGUCACAUGAAAAGCUGCAUCCCCGUGAUAGGAGACUCUUCCUUAAAACAGGGAGUAAUGAAUCCGGAAUUUAUCUUUGGCAGUACCUUCAAGAAAGCAAUGUUUCUCUUGAUGCACCUGCUCUGAUAAUGUGCUCAUCUGACUACAAGUGAGCCUGCAGAUUCAGAAGUCACAAAUACAGAUUUCUAAGAGCAUUUCUAAAAACGAGGGUCUUGACAUUUGUAAGUGGGACGUUCCGGGACUGAAAUGAUGUGCUGGAACUCGUGGGAAGAAAUCGAUGGUGAAGGAGCUCAGGCUUCCAGAGGAAAUGGGGGAAUGGGGGUAGCUGUGGACAUGCUACCCAGGAAAGCCGGAGGGUCGAGGCUGGGAGCGAAACGAGGGCGCGACUGUGCUGCGUGGGGACGGGAGUGCUAACCUCAAUCUGAAGCCAGCCGUGGCAAACUCAAAGGCCCGGAGCAAACAUCGCAGCGGUGCCUGAGAUGAAAGGUCUUUAUUCGUGAGACCGUGGAUUCGGGCUGGUAGGUUUGGAAACAGCAGCCCGCCUUGCAGGGGGCUCCCAGCAGCGGAGAAGCUCCCCAAGGCUGGAGAGCAGGGGUCGGGCAGGAAUUCAACCUUCCCGGGUGCCAGGGCUCAAAGCUGCCUGCAGUCAUCAGGGCUCGGGACCCAGCUGCAUCAGAGGGCCGUGAGGGGCUGAUGGGAGUAUGUUCUAAGACUCCCGGGUAUGUAGUUUGGAGGGGAUCGUGCUU